rnacentral:rRNA from 1 species
UACGUAGGGGCAAGCGUUGUUCGGAAUUACUGGGCGUAAAGCGCACGUAGGCGGAUUUGUAAGUCAGGGGUGAAAUCCCGGGGCUCAACCUCGGAACUGCCUUUGAUACUGCAAAUCUCGAGUCCGGAAGAGGUGAGUGGAAUUCCUAGUGUAGAGGUGAAAUUCGUAGAUAUUCGGAAGAACACCAGUGGCGAAGGCGGCUCACUGGACCGGUACUGACGCUGAGGCGCGAAAGCGUGGGAGCAAACGGG